CUAGGGGUGUACCUCAGUGGUAGAGCGCUUGCCUACAAUGCAUGAGGCACUGGGUUCGAUCCUCAGCACUAGG
rnacentral:tRNA from 1 species